rnacentral:lncRNA from 1 species
CUUUUCGGUCAGUGCCAUAAAACAAGGAUUAGUUUUUCAUUUGCUGCAACUGAGUGGGUCAUUAGGAUCCAAAGACACUAAUGAGCCUGAACGGGCAAUUGGAUUCUGCUUUCAAAGUUGUGAGCUAGUCUAAAAGGAGAUGACUGUGUCUCUUAAUGAUUUAAAACAGGAUGUUUCAGGGACCUUCUUCCUGGAAAAAAAAAAAAAAAAAAAAAAGAAUGAAAGAUAUAUAACCAUGGAAUGCAAACCUGGAAUGUUGACUUUUUCUCUUGGAACUUGAGUUGUUGCCAGAUUCAUUGCCUAAGAGGCUGAAUGGCUCAUUUAGGAAUGUAUCUGUUGCCUUGCCUUUAUGUUCUGCUCUUGAUGUCUCCAGAGUUGACACAAGUCACAUGCAAUCAAGUCUGUAUCCCUGGUGGACAGGCACUGUCCUAAUGUUCUCUGACUCACACCCAGGUUGUUUGCAGCUCAGCAGUUCUGCUUCCAGACACAUCACUUUGUGUUCUGAUGCUAACAUCUUGCUGAGAAAUUGCCUCUUGGCACGCUGUUUCUUGAAUCCUGUACCUUGCUUGAUUUGAUGUGAAGAUGAUGCUCUUUUUAGCACUUGCAACAUGUCACCUUUGAGAAGAUGCUGCCAAAAGGAUGUCAAUG